UUGGUGGGGUAAUGGCCUACCAAAGCAACGAUCAGUAGCCGGCCUGAGAGGGUGAACGGCCACACUGGAACUGAGACACGGUCCAGACUCCUACGGGAGGCAGCAGUGGGGAAUAUUGCACAAUGGGGGAAACCCUGAUGCAGCAACGCCGCGUGAGCGAUGAAGGCUUUCGAGUCGUAAAGCUCUGUCCUAAGGGAAGAUAAUGACGGUACCUUAGGAGGAAGCCCCGGCUAACUACGUGCCAGCAGCCGCGGUAAUACGUAGGGGGCAAGCGUUAUCCGGAAUUAUUGGGCGUAAAGGGUGCGUAGGCGGCCUUAUGGGUCAGAGGUUAAAUACUACGGCUUAACCGUAGUAUGCCUUUGAAACUAUAGGGCUUGAGUGCAGGAGAGGAGAGUGGAAUUCCUAGUGUAGCGGUGAAAUGCGUAGAUAUUAGGAGGAAUACCAGUGGCGAAGGCGACUCUCUGGACUGCAACUGACGCUAAGGCACGAAAGCGUGGGAGCGAACAGGAUUAGAACCCGGAGUCCCACGCGUAAAACGAUAUGACUUAGGUCCGGGGAUCCAACGUCGGU
rnacentral:rRNA from 1 species